GUUAAUUUACCACCCAUGAUCUUUUUAAUGCACUUGAAAUUUAUCGUACUACGGAUGUAAUGGUUCCCGGAGCAGGGUAACAAAACAAUUAACACACCGAAACGUUGAAUGGCACAUUGAAAUUGGCACACUUCCGAUUGUACCCCAUGUCCUGCCCUGCCAUGGCGCUGUACCUUGAGGACGAACCGAACUGUAGGACUUUCCGGGUGGAACGUCUGCCAGAGCGGGACAACUCUACGCAGCAAUGUGGUGACGGCGGCAAACGGUAAACAGUAAUAAAAUAACGGUGCUCAAUGGGUGGCAUGUGUCAGUGUGAGUGGAAGUGGGUGUAUGCUGUGUGGAUGGAUGCUUGGGUCUUAGCAAUAAUUAAGUGAAAAAUAGUAGUUAGGGUGAGACGCCGACUCGUUCUCGUGGGUGUGAAAGUUAAGCUUGUUGAUUAUGUUUGAUUAGUCGAGGAUUUAGUAUUUUGGGUUAGUCGGUAAGCAUGCAUAUGUACAUACAUAUUUACAAUACAUCUAUUUCUAGUGCGCUAGUAAAUGGCACAGAAAGAGAAAGAAACUCUAGAAGGGGCAUGGGGAAUGGGCCAUAGAGCAAUAUGUAAUUCGUAUUUGGUUAGUUUGUUAGUUAAAGGAGGAGCAGGGGGGGUUGGGGGGCAGGGGGUUUCUACAACGAAAUGGCACAAAAGUGUUUUGUUUGUGGACGAGUGUCGAAUCUAGUCAAAUUCUGUUGCACAAAUGAAAUACAAAUAUAUUUAUAUUUGGAUAAAACUGCAAUAUAGAUGUUUAGUAAGUAUUGUAAAUGAUUUUCUCCCCCAAACACACACACACACACACCCCAACCAACACAUACACAAAAUCAAGUCUAUUAUAUAUUUAUCUCUAUAUAUUUAUACACCCACAAAAAAUGAGCAAAUAUUUAUGUAACAAAAUACUAAACAGAAAACAGCAUAUUACUCGUAUUGUAUAUACAGUUUAGGAAUGGUCUAAGAACGAUGAGCAUUUGGUGUGUACAAGUAAAGGAGGAUCAGUAUGGAUACGGAUACGAAUACAUCCCUAUUGAAUGCAAGUGUAAAAAUAAUGGAUGCUAAUUCCAUUUGAUAUAACUAGUGUAUGUAUACUUAGAUGCCAAGCAAAGUUGAUUGAAUAAAGC
rnacentral:lncRNA from 1 species